UUAAUGGUUUUAGUUAAGAAAAGAUGGGUGAAGAGAUAUGGUUGGCUUUUCAUUAUACUAAAAUUCGUUAUGCUACAACAACAUUCUGAAAACUCUGAUCUGAUAGAGAAACGACCUUAGACUUAGGGGCACUCUGCCCAUAGCAAUUCAAACCCACCAUCCCUUAUUUUAUUUUAUACUCUCUCUCUAUAAAUACGAUAGAAGAUGGAAUUUUAGAAUCCCAAAGUGAGCCUCCCUAUACAUAAAACUGUGGAGAAUGCACCUGAGUCUGCACACCUUCUUUGAAAGACCAAAAAGAUUACGUUCUGCUCUUUUGCUUUCCAUUUCCAUGUUUCUUCUCCUUCAACCCCAUCACCAAAAGUUCUAACCUUUUCAAGCAUUUUCCUCCCAUCCCCUACAAACACAUACUAUAAUCCAAACCAUGCAAUAUCACACUUGUGUUUCGAAUAGACCAUACUUUUACUUCUAGCUCCUACUCCCUCUAUUCCAUUUUCUCUUUAUAAAUAUAUAUACUCUCUACCUUCUUGUUUUAUAGCACAUUGCUUCAACCUUCUCUUUUAAUGGGCUUGUUAGGGAACUUUGAAUGGGUGAAUGCUUAUGGCAAGAAACGUUGCAAGAGCUUGUUUUGGAGGAUGAGAGCUACAGUGAAGAAGGCUUUGAAGAAGGGUGACAAGAAGAAGCAACUCAAGUUCCAAUAUGAUCCUUCAAGCUAUGCACUCAACUUUGAUGAUGGAUGUUCCCUUUUUGAUCUCAGAGAUGCUACAAAGAAAUCCAUGGAAGAUGCAAAAGUCCAAAACCUCAUAGACAUGAACAACAACAACAACACAACAUGGGUUUUUGUGCUUUUGGUCAAAACCAAGUGACAAUGUUUUCCUUAUCAACUGAGGCUUGUUUUCUCAUGUUUGGUACUUUUUAUGUUCUUUUUAUGUCUCUGGUUUCCUAGAUAAGUAAAGCAUUGCAGGAAUUUUAAAGGGUCAUGUUGUCACCCAUUGUGUGAGUGUACAUCCUUUACUUCUUUCAUGAGCUAUAACAGUCUUUAGUUUACAUUUAUUCUUGUGUUUUGAGCUAGAACAUAGUAUAAAAAUAGUAAAACUUGCCCAAGUAAAUUGCAGAAAAAAA
rnacentral:lncRNA from 1 species